rnacentral:rRNA from 1 species
UACGUAGGUGGCGAGCGUUGUCCGGAAUCACUGGGCGUAAAGGGCGCGUAGGCGGGUGAGCAAGUCAGGUGUAAAAACUAUCGGCUCAACCGGUAAGUAGCACUUGAAACUGUUCAUCUUGAGUACUGGAGAGGGAAGCGGAAUUCCUAGUGUAGCGGUGAAAUGCGUAGAGAUUAGGAGGAACACCAGUGGCGAAGGCGGCUUCCUGGCCAGCAACUGACGCUGAGGCGCGAAAGCGUGGGGAGCAAACAGG